ensembl:lncRNA
GUCCACAGAUGAGAGUCUGCUUGAAACACUGUUUUCUUCAGAACCAUGAAUCAGGAAUGAACUGCUGUUUAGGUCCAAGAACUUUACUGACACAAAGCUAAGAGAAAAGAGUUUAUUGACACUGUAUAUUCAAUCCCUAGUAAGGCCCUGUGCCAGGUAUGAGCAGUGGAUACAGAGCAACACACUGCAGUACAGCAGUGCACUGCAAUACACACGUUGGUUAUAAUUACCAUAGCUCAAUACAAUUAAACACACAAACAGAUUCAUUUAGCAUGACAGUUUUGCAUACAAGAUAUUUAAACCCUGUUUUGUGAUUCACUUUCUAGAGUACAGAGAAAACUGCUCAAAAAACUUUUAAGUGUAACUAGCAUACAGUAAUAUACACAGAUAUGAAGGUUACAAUCUGAAAAGGGUUUGCAUGUUGUAAGAGGUGGAAGCACUAACUGGACUCAACAGGUUACAUACGUACAUACUUAAGUACAUACAUACAUUGGCCAAGAAAGGAAAGACUCAUUGAAAACCAGUCAGUCUCCUGAGGAUGACAGGGUCACAAAGCCCUGGCUCACACCCACUAAUGCCCCUCCCAUAUCUUCUGGUUGCCUUGAUAUGUGGUAUUUGGCUUCUAUCUGUUUUCACUGGCUUGUGAGACACCACUGUGUACUUAGGACAUAUGCUGCCUCAGGUUCUGAGUGUCUACCCUGGAUAGACACAGUCUCAGGUUCUGAGUGUCUACCCUGGAUUGACACAGUCUCAGGUUCUGAGUGUCUGCCCUGGGUUGACACACACUGUCACAGGUUCUGAGUGUCUGCCCUGGGUUGACACACACUGUCACAGGUUCUGAGUGUCUGCCCUGGGUUGACACACACAGUCUCAGGGUCUGAGUGUCUUCCCUGGGUUGACACACACAGUCUCAGGGUCUGAGUGUCUGCCCUGGGUUGACACACACAGUCUCAGGGUCUGAGUGUCUGCCCUGGGUUGACACAGUCUCAGGUUCUGAGUGUCUGCCCUGGGUUGACACACACAGUCACAGGUUCUGAGUGUCUGCCCUGGGUUGACACACACAGUCUCAGGUUCUGAGUGUCUGCCCUGGGUUGACACAGUGUCUCAGGUUCUGAGUGUCUGCCCUGGGUUGACACAGUGUCUCAGGUUCUGAGUGUCUGCCCUGGGUUGACACACACACAGUCUCAGGUUCUGAGUGUCUGCCCUGGGUUGACACACACUGUCACAGGUUCUGAGUGUCUGCCCUGGGUUGACACACACUGUCACAGGUUCUGAGUGUCUGCCCUGGGUUUUCUGGGCUUUAAAACACUUUCCUUCAAGUUUUGCCUUUUUGUUUCUGAUUUCAGCCUUUAUAUGAAGGAUGGGGAAGAUUCUCAAUUAUGUUAUUAAACAUGAAGAAAUUUUAAUAUGAUGCCCUUAUGAUUUUAUUCUUUUACAGUCACAUUCUUUAACUGUAUGUAAUUUACCUUCAUAUAUGACUUGAGGCUAAAUCUAACAUCUUUGAAAAUAGCCUAUCCUGACAUCUUAACUCCUUUUACACAGACUUGAAACAAUAUCCGCCUCAUGGUAAGUUUUCAUUCUCCCAGACCCAUGCACAUGCAGCACUAACUGAACACAACAGUUACAUACUCAUAUGUACAUGCAUACAUACAUGACAUGUUUCAAGUUGGGUUGGAUACAAUCAAACUGUAUAGGUAUAUGAAAUUGUCAACGAAUAAAAGUCAUUCUAAAGUCCUUUUAUAUCCUUUUUCUCCUCACUUCUCACAAGAACGUCCAAAGGACCAACACUUAGUUACUGGAUACCCUUGUCCACGUAGGAAGCCCACUUGUAGUCAAUGAAGGACAGAACAAUGACAACUUUAUAUACAAGCUCAAGCGUUUAGAACCCAGACGUGACCAGAGAACCUCCGCUGGACACAUGUCAAAAUACAAAGUGAAAAAAUAGUACUAAAUGCUGAAAGACAAAAAACCUGAACUUACAUACAAAGGAGGAAAAUCAGAAAUGAAAAUCAGAAAAUCUUUCCUUCCCUGGGGGACAGGGGGCGUAAAAGGAAAAAAAGAAACUCUGUGCUUUUACUAUAGUGUACAGAAUGGUGGAUGUGUUUGUAGGCCCAGGGUAAAGGAGAGGACCUUGGGUUGGGGAGAAAGGAGCUACAACCAAGUGACCAGAAUAGGCCUUUAUAGCACCUUGAGACCUGCUAAAGUAUUUUCUCUACUCCUGCCACUGAAGUUCAUUAUUUCUUCAUUAAUUGUGCUACCGUCUAUUAUGUUGUGGGCAUACAAAGUAACCUCGGCAAGUCUGUCAGAAAAGCAUGGAAUGAUAGAUCUCAAGCGCAUGAAGUAAGUGACUGACAACUAGCAAGGCUACCCUUUUAUACCCAGCUGCUAUACCUGGAAAAGUGGAAUGCCCUGUUAUACCCAGCUAUAAUAUCCAGCUAAGUUGAAAAGUUAGUGAAAGGAGUAGGAGGGGCCCUGGCAGCCAUCAUAGCAUUUAGGAAGGAGUGAAAAUGACUCAAAAAUCUCUUCAUACAGCAUGACUAAGCAGAACAGAUUAUGUCUGAGUGGUUCAAGAACCAAUCUUCUGGGGCUGGGGUUUAGCUCAGUGGUAGAGAGCUAGCCUAGCAAGCACAAGGCCCUGGGUUCGGUCCUCAGCUCCAGAGAGAGAGAGAGAGAGAGAAUAUCUUCUACCUCAGGCCACUGUGGAGGGCACAGAUCAUGGCAUCAGUUCCCAGUGCAAAAUUAUCUCUACUGAAAUUUCCUACUCCUAUAUGACUCCUCUUGUGCACAUCCUACGUUAAAAAAAGCCACACACACGAAUAAGCGGCUUGCUGAUACACCUCAAGAAUUUGGAAACACAAGGACAAAGAGUCUAGAAAAACAAGAACCAAACCAAACCAAAACCCUGUCAAUGGCAAGAAAUAGUAAGAAUAAGAACUGGGAAAUUGACACAGAAACAAAAUACGAAGUAUCAAUGAUUCUAAUAUCUGGUUCUUUAAGAAUAGAACCUUGGUCCAACAACAUCACCAGAGAUGACCUAAAUGUAGAGAAAAUCUCUUGUAUGCUCUAUGGAUGCAACUAAAGCUGAUUGGUCUCUGUAGCAGAGGCAGGAAAUAAAAGGUAGACAGACACCCAUGUUCUGCUGUGCUGUUUGACCACCACCACCUGCUGGCUGCUGUGGGACUCAGGACUUCAACCACGUGAGUUGCUGCUACAGCCGGCACACACAGACUUCUACAUGAGCCACAGCCUUCCAUGGUUCACCACGUGGUGCCAGCUCUUGCCAUAUGAGUCACUUAGGACAGGCCCUCACCAACCACAUGGUUUCACUGCUACCAGACCAUCGCUAAAAUUCCUGCACAAACACCAGCAGAUUGGUAGGUUUAUUCCUCCAGUUGGCAAGGACCCCCGACUUCCCAGAUAGGGCCUGGCCAGCCUUUAUGGGAUAAAGGGGCCUCCUAGCGGACAAGACUUUCACCACUGGGCGGAGAUUCCCUCGAAUGCCGUUCCUCAAGCCCCUCCCCCUCAGGGCUCUUGCAGCUGAUUAGAAAUUCCCAGGCCUGGGUAGGGAUGCUUUCUGGUAGGUCUGAGACCUGUCGUGGACUCCAUCAGUCUAAGUAACAACUCAGACACCUGGCCUGGCAGAGUGCGGUUAUUGAAUCACCCGCUGGGACGCUGAAAUGGAUAAUUUAAUAGCUCCCCCAGUGGGUUAUUUGAUGUCUCUGAAUGUGCCACCAGACUCUCCAUUGGGAUGUUUCCUGGAAAAUUACAAAACUCUAAACUAACGCCUCACCUGAGGACAUCAAGACUGAUACAGUUGCAAUAAUGUCUGGACUCAGUAUUCAUUAGACAAUGGCUCAAAAGAGCCACAUAGUGGCAUGCUAGAUUCCUCAAUUUUACGGGAUCUUCAUACUCACUGCCAGCUGUCUGAUAAAUGGAAAGAUAUCCUUCAUGUUCAAGCAUUUAUCUACCUUUGCUCCACCCCCUCUCUUCUGCUUCUGUGGUAUCCUGCUGAGGUAACUGGUCAGUCCAGCAGGCCUCCCCCAUCGCGAUGCCUGACGCCCUGCUUGCAUCUGCCCGCCAAGGAGAGUGCCCUCUUCAAGCACAGGCUGGUGAACCGUGGCCCAUUGGAUCUCUGUGAGCUUUCUUUACCUCUGAGCUUGACUUUCCAUGAUGUACAUAUGAAACAAUUGACUUCCUGAGGAACGCCUGAGAGUUUGGGAGCAGGUGAGAAUACAUGCAGACGAGAUCCAUCAGAUGGCACAUACCCUAUUGGAUCUGUACCUGACCAAGAUCCCCGAUGGAAUUAUAAUUCCACAGGUGGUAUUUCAGCCAAAGAUCGGUUCAUAACCUGCCUCCUGGCUGGUCUUCGCAGGGUAGCCUUAAAACCAGUGAAUUCUGAAGAACUACAAGAGGCCAUCUGGGAAAAACAGGAAAACCCAUCCCAAUUUUUAGAACACCUUAAAACAUGGGCCCUGAAAUACACUAAUUUGGACCCUGAAAACCCAUAAGGUAAGCAACUUCUGAUGGCCUACUAUUUCUUGUCCCAGAGUUACCCAAACCUAAAAGACAAACUUAAAAAGCCAGAGGUGGGGAGGGGGGGCAACUCCACAGGCAGAAGUUUUGGCGCUGUACCAUGGAAGGGAUGAGAAGGCUCACAGACUAAAGUACCAUAAUAUGCUGUCAAAGGCUGUCCAACCACCCCCAGUUAUUGCCCGAGAGUCCUGCAUCUAAGGCUAAGGGACCACUAGGCUCCUGCUAUAAAUGUGGUCAGCAAGAACCUUGGGCAAGGGCUUGCCCUAACUUCCGCAAGGAAAGGGGCCAUGUCCUAGGGUGCUAUCAAGAGGGACACUUGGCUGUCGAUUGCCCUCAUGUUGCACAUGACAGAGGGUCACCACAUCCAGGUACGCUCUCUAAUCCCCUCCUUCUUCCGGGCUCUUGUAGCUGUAAAAACUCCCAGGCCUGAGUAGAGACACUUUCUGGUGAGUCCAGGACUCACCAUAUGGCCUCUAGAAGGUCUGAGUGAUAACUCAGACAGCUUAGCCCGGCAGAAAGUUUGGGUGUUAAGAUUAUUCUCGGGAUGCUAGUACAAAUAAUUCAAUACCUCCCUACAUAACUCACUGUCUUCGAACUCAACUUCUUAGCUACGAGGCACAUGCCAGAUGACUGUACAACCCUUGAUCUAGCUAGUGAACUUUCUCAUAUAGAAAGGAGACUGGGUUCUGAGACCUCUAACUCCUCCGCCUUUAAUUAAGGGUUUCAGUAAAUUACUCACUCUUAUAGCUUGACUUUGCACGAUUGGUUAAACGCUUCAUAUUUCCUCUCCUUGCUAAACUCAACACUAUAUGAUCUAACUGUAAUCACAAAUAUUUGUUCCUUCUGUUCCACAAAAAGCUUAUCAUAAAGAAUGUUCACGUUAUCUCUUUUGUAAACUCAUAAGUUACAGGAAGCCCACUGAGACCUACCUCUCAUGGACUCUACCCAAAUAAGUACAUCUGCCUAAAGUUCCCACUUAUUACCUAUUCCAAAGGGUGGGAUUCCUCUGGGUUUCAAAUGAACAUCUAAGAAAAAUUUUUCUUCCGAAUGCACUUAAUCUUAUUCUCUACCUGUAAUAAAAGUAUAUGUGUGUUUCAGCAUCUUGUCAAGUCCAGGCACUUAUUUCACCCAGGACAGCUCCAGAGAAGCUAUCU